CGACCUUGUGGCAGCUGCAUUGGAAAGCAUUUUUCAAGAGGUGCUGGGAGAGGGUGCGCAGUGUGCAACAAGUGAGUAAAGUCUCUCUCCCUCUCCCGCUCUCUCGCUUGCAGCCAUGAAGAUUAGAUAUGGCUCCCAACAGGCCCUGGGAGCGCUAAUCAAAUGGGAAAUGUAAGGCGAGACUCAACUCCGUAGCAACACAUCGCUGGAUAAAAAUGGCUGUGACAUCAUCCCCUACUGGCCACAUCAAGCAACAAACAGACCCGAGCUGUACGAUCGCAACACACUUGACUGCACCUCCAACCAUACAGCGUCAAGAUAAGCAUGAGCGAAACCUCCAUGGGAACUCCUAUCUACCGCUCCGAGGAAGGAUCUCCAAAACAAAGCCCCGAGAACCCCGCGAGGUCCUCAAAAGUAAGAAGGCACUGCGACUCAUCACAAGCGAGGAGAUUCAAAACCCUUUAGUUGUGCCUAAUUGAAUGCGGCGCAGGAGAACAGAGCGGAAAUGUCAUUACGAGAUGACACAAGAGCUAGCUAGCGCCUCUAUUUUAGAGUGUUUUUCACGGGAUGGGGUUCGUCUAAAGGGGAGGGGGUUAAGUCCUGGGUGGGCUCCACUGGUAGAGACAGUCAUCAAAUCAACUGUGUCAGCGAAAGCCUCUCGUCCCCUUUCCUCGCCCGCGCCGUAAUCCAAUCGCGCCCAAGUGUAAAUAAAAAGUGUGCCUUCUUGCGGCGCUGUCAGGUAGGAGGAAAGGGGAGGGGGGGCAGGGAAAAGAACAUGAGAACACACGCACCCUCCUCAUCAUUUUCACUAAAACCAACUUUCACCACAUGAGACGCGGGCGCCCAGGGAGGGCUCCGCCGAUUAAAAAUGCAAAGCGGAGAAAAGUGGACGUGAGGGAUCUCGAUCGGAGCUCAUUAGCAUAUCCGCAGAUCGUUCGCACCCCUGUACGGGAAAAAUUGGGGGGGACAAUUCAUUGGGAAAAGACAAAUUAAUUAAAUGUAAUGCAAGUUGGGCAUGAUUU